UGAGUCAGAUUCUGAUUAGAUGUUUCAGCCCUUUCUCCGGGUAAUUCGGGCUCCUUCGGAUCCUCAGGGACAGUGCAUUCUAUAAUAAAGUUGGUCAAGGCCUAGGCUUUGAUGGAAGGUUGAGGUUUGAACUCCACCCCAUACUCCACAAGCUUAAUUGCCCAGUUGGCCAACUAUCCUAAAGUAUCGAGACGAUGCAAUGCUGUCUUCAAGGG
rnacentral:lncRNA from 1 species